GGGUUGUGAGGUUAAGCGACUAAGCGUACACGGUGGAUGCCCUGGCAGUCAGAGGCGAUGAAGGACGUGCUAAUCUGCGAUAAGCGUCGGUAAGGUGAUAUGAACCGUUAUAACCGGCGAUUUCCGAAUGGGGAAACCCAGUGUGUUUCGACACACUAUCAUUAACUGAAUCCAUAGGUUAAUGAGGCGAACCGGGGGAACUGAAACAUCUAAGUACCCCGAGGAAAAGAAAUCAACCGAGAUUCCCCCAGUAGCGGCGAGCGAACGGGGAGCAGCCCAGAGCCUGAAUCAGUGUGUGUGUUAGUGGAAGCGUCUGGAAAGGCGCGCGAUACAGGGUGACAGCCCCGUACACAAAAAUGCACAUGCUGUGAGCUCGAUGAGUAGGGCGGGACACGUGGUAUCCUGUCUGAAUAUGGGGGGACCAUCCUCCAAGGCUAAAUACUCCUGACUGACCGAUAGUGAACCAGUACCGUGAGGGAAAGGCGAAAAGAACCCCGGCGAGGGGAGUGAAAAAGAACCUGAAACCGUGUACGUACAAGCAGUGGGAGCACGCUUAGGCGUGUGACUGCGUACCUUUUGUAUAAUGGGUCAGCGACUUAUAUUCUGUAGCAAGGUUAACCGAAUAGGGGAGCCGAAGGGAAACCGAGUCUUAACUGGGCGUUAAGUUGCAGGGUAUAGACCCGAAACCCGGUGAUCUAGCCAUGGGCAGGUUGAAGGUUGGGUAACACUAACUGGAGGACCGAACCGACUAAUGUUGAAAAAUUAGCGGAUGACUUGUGGCUGGGGGUGAAAGGCCAAUCAAACCGGGAGAUAGCUGGUUCUCCCCGAAAGCUAUUUAGGUAGCGCCUCGUGAAUUCAUCUCCGGGGGUAGAGCACUGUUUCGGCAAGGGGGUCAUCCCGACUUACCAACCCGAUGCAAACUGCGAAUACCGGAGAAUGUUAUCACGGGAGACACACGGCGGGUGCUAACGUCCGUCGUGAAGAGGGAAACAACCCAGACCGCCAGCUAAGGUCCCAAAGUCAUGGUUAAGUGGGAAACGAUGUGGGAAGGCCCAGACAGCCAGGAUGUUGGCUUAGAAGCAGCCAUCAUUUAAAGAAAGCGUAAUAGCUCACUGGUCGAGUCGGCCUGCGCGGAAGAUGUAACGGGGCUAAACCAUGCACCGAAGCUGCGGCAGCGACGCUUAUGCGUUGUUGGGUAGGGGAGCGUUCUGUAAGCCUGCGAAGGUGUGCUGUGAGGCAUGCUGGAGGUAUCAGAAGUGCGAAUGCUGACAUAAGUAACGAUAAAGCGGGUGAAAAGCCCGCUCGCCGGAAGACCAAGGGUUCCUGUCCAACGUUAAUCGGGGCAGGGUGAGUCGACCCCUAAGGCGAGGCCGAAAGGCGUAGUCGAUGGGAAACAGGUUAAUAUUCCUGUACUUGGUGUUACUGCGAAGGGGGGACGGAGAAGGCUAUGUUGGCCGGGCGACGGUUGUCCCGGUUUAAGCGUGUAGGCUGGUUUUCCAGGCAAAUCCGGAAAAUCAAGGCUGAGGCGUGAUGACGAGGCACUACGGUGCUGAAGCAACAAAUGCCCUGCUUCCAGGAAAAGCCUCUAAGCAUCAGGUAACAUCAAAUCGUACCCCAAACCGACACAGGUGGUCAGGUAGAGAAUACCAAGGCGCUUGAGAGAACUCGGGUGAAGGAACUAGGCAAAAUGGUGCCGUAACUUCGGGAGAAGGCACGCUGAUAUGUAGGUGAAGUCCCUCGCGGAUGGAGCUGAAAUCAGUCGAAGAUACCAGCUGGCUGCAACUGUUUAUUAAAAACACAGCACUGUGCAAACACGAAAGUGGACGUAUACGGUGUGACGCCUGCCCGGUGCCGGAAGGUUAAUUGAUGGGGUUAGCGCAAGCGAAGCUCUUGAUCGAAGCCCCGGUAAACGGCGGCCGUAACUAUAACGGUCCUAAGGUAGCGAAAUUCCUUGUCGGGUAAGUUCCGACCUGCACGAAUGGCGUAAUGAUGGCCAGGCUGUCUCCACCCGAGACUCAGUGAAAUUGAACUCGCUGUGAAGAUGCAGUGUACCCGCGGCAAGACGGAAAGACCCCGUGAACCUUUACUAUAGCUUGACACUGAACAUUGAGCCUUGAUGUGUAGGAUAGGUGGGAGGCUUUGAAGUGUGGACGCCAGUCUGCAUGGAGCCGACCUUGAAAUACCACCCUUUAAUGUUUGAUGUUCUAACGUUGACCCGUAAUCCGGGUUGCGGACAGUGUCUGGUGGGUAGUUUGACUGGGGCGGUCUCCUCCUAAAGAGUAACGGAGGAGCACGAAGGUUGGCUAAUCCUGGUCGGACAUCAGGAGGUUAGUGCAAUGGCAUAAGCCAGCUUGACUGCGAGCGUGACGGCGCGAGCAGGUGCGAAAGCAGGUCAUAGUGAUCCGGUGGUUCUGAAUGGAAGGGCCAUCGCUCAACGGAUAAAAGGUACUCCGGGGAUAACAGGCUGAUACCGCCCAAGAGUUCAUAUCGACGGCGGUGUUUGGCACCUCGAUGUCGGCUCAUCACAUCCUGGGGCUGAAGUAGGUCCCAAGGGUAUGGCUGUUCGCCAUUUAAAGUGGUACGCGAGCUGGGUUUAGAACGUCGUGAGACAGUUCGGUCCCUAUCUGCCGUGGGCGCUGGAGAACUGAGGGGGGCUGCUCCUAGUACGAGAGGACCGGAGUGGACGCAUCACUGGUGUUCGGGUUGUCAUGCCAAUGGCACUGCCCGGUAGCUAAAUGCGGAAGAGAUAAGUGCUGAAAGCAUCUAAGCACGAAACUUGCCCCGAGAUGAGUUCUCCCUGACCCUUUAAGGGUCCUGAAGGAACGUUGAAGACGACGACGUUGAUAGGCCGGGUGUGUAAGCGCAGCGAUGCGUUGAGCUAACCGGUACUAAUGAACCGUGAGGCUUAACCUUACAACGCCGAAGCUGUU
rnacentral:rRNA from 1 species